rnacentral:lncRNA from 1 species
UUCUUUUUCAAGGUCAACCGCAGUGCUAGCAGCUGGCUUUAUAAAUCAAUUCGCAACCUUUCCUCUCCAUGGAACAAAAUUAGUCCAACGAGCCUACCUGGCUGUCGUACGGCCUUGCGCUGAACUCUUGCUUUGUCUGAGCGAGGCUCCCAUAGGGACUGGGGCUUUGGAGGAGUUUUGAAAAGCAGAAGCUCCGAAAAGUAAAUUUUGAGGGGUUGCAGGUAACCAGAAUCCCCCAUAGGCAGCAUCGCUCAAGGCCAUAGUGACUGGGAGGGGGGGGCAGGAUUCGGGGUGUGGGAAUUGUCCUCAUGUUCCCAGGCUGUGUAGAAAGCCAGACAACAAAUGUAUCUUGAGACCAGUUAAUGGCUGUUACUCACUAUCUCUAAAGGCUGUGGCUAAGGUUUUAAUCGUUCCACACAGGAAACUGAGAUUUCAGAAGACACAUCCUUCCCCCCCCCGCCCCAGCGCCAUGUGUUAUUUUUUUGUAGGUUUUUCCUUUUUUUUCUGCAAGGUGAGGAAGCUACGCCACGACUGCCAGUAUUAUUGGACUUGCGCUCAGUUUUUCUCUGCAGCUUGGCCUGCAGAAAUAAGACGGGCGCAGCUUAGACCCUCUGUGAGUCUGAAAGAAUGGUGGACAAGACUUUCAGGCAAUGAUCCUUCCACGCCGUUCCCAUUGAGUGUUGCUGUUGAUUCAAUCCUUAAGCAUUAAAAAUCAGGAGGUCCUGGAAGUCAGCUGGACAUGACAGUUAAGUGUGUGACUGCAUGCAAACUGCCAUUUAACAUUUAAGCAGAGCGCCCGACUGCAGAUACAACACGCAGAGAGGAAGCAAACUCUUUCUCCUGGCACACACACUCUUUUCUUUUACUCGCUGUGCGUUAAGGGUGUUUUCUCUGUGUGCCUUUUUAUUAUAUUUGGGUAUUUUUAAAUUUGGAUUUGGUUGUUAGCUGCCUUGGCUGCUAUGUGGGGUGGAAAGGCAGGGUAAACAUUCAAUAAACAAAUCGAUUAAAACGCUCUUGCA